GUUAAGGUGGCUGAGUGGUUAAGCACUUGGCUUCCAAACCUAAGGGUCCCGGGUUCGAAUUCUGGUCAAGACU
rnacentral:tRNA from 1 species